rnacentral:ncRNA from 2 species
ACACGUUGGCCCUAAGAAGGGCGCAGUUCGAUCUCAAGCAGGCAACGGGGUUUGAG